CCUACGGGUGGCUGCAGUGGGGAAUAUUGGACAAUGGGCGAAAGCCUGAUCCAGCCAUGCCGCGUGUGUGAAGAAGGCCUUCGGGUUGUAAAGCACUUUCAGUGGGGAAGAAAGCCUUGGGGCUAAUACCCUCGAGGAAGGACAUCACCCACAGAAGAAGCACCGGCUAACUCCGUGCCAGCAGCCGCGGUAAUACGGAGGGUGCGAGCGUUAAUCGGAAUUACUGGGCGUAAAGCGCGCGUAGGCGGUCUGAUAAGCCGGUUGUGAAAGCCCCGGGCUCAACAUGGGAACGGCAUCCGGAACUGUCAGGCUAGAGUGCAGGAGAGGAAGGUAGAAUUCCCGGUGUAGCGGUGAAAUGCGUAGAGAUCGGGAGGAAUACCAGUGGCGAAGGCGGCCUUCUGGACUGACACUGACGCUGAGGUGCGAAAGCGUGGGUAGCAAACAGGAUUAGAUACCCUGGUAGUC
rnacentral:rRNA from 1 species